rnacentral:rRNA from 1 species
UAAAGAGUUCUAUAACUCCCAAACCCAUGUGAACAUACCUAACGUUGCCUCGGCAGGUCGCACCUACCUUGUAGCACCCUACCCUGUAGGGCCUACCCGGGAGGUGCGGGUAAGCCUGCCGGCGGCCCACCAAACUCUGUUUGAUAUUGAAUUCUGAACCUAUAACUAAAUAAGUUAAAACUUUCAACAACGGAUCUCUUGGUUCUGGCAUCGAUGAAGAACGCAGCGAAAUGCGAUAAGUAAUGUGAAUUGCAGAAUUCAGUGAAUCAUCGAAUCUUUGAACGCAUAUUGCGCCCAUUAGUAUUCUAGUGGGCAGGACCGUUCGAGCGUCAUUUCAACCCUUAAGCCUUCGUUGCUUAGUGUUGGGAGCCUACGGCAACGUAGCUCCUCAAAGUUAGUGGCGGAGUUGGUUCACACUCUAGACGUAGUAAUUUUUUAUCUCGCCUAUUAGUUGGACUAAUCCCCUGCCGUAAAACCCCCAAUUUAUCAAGGUUGACCUCGAAUCGGUUCAGACAAACUCGCUAAAUUGAAGCAUCUUAGUCAGCGAAGGAAAAGAAACCAACAGGGAUUGCCCUAGUAACGGCGAGUGAAGCGGCAACAGCUCAAAUUUG